AGGAUGAACGCUGGCGGCGUGCCUAACACAUGCAAGUCGAGCGAAGCACUUUGCUUAGAUUCUUCGGAUGAAGAGGAUUGUGACUGAGCGGCGGACGGGUGAGUAACGCGUGGGUAACCUGCCUCAUACAGGGGGAUAACAGUUAGAAAUGACUGCUAAUACCGCAUAAGACCACAGCACCGCAUGGUGCAGGGGUAAAAACUCCGGUGGUAUGAGAUGGACCCGCGUCUGAUUAGCUAGUUGGUAAGGUAACGGCUUACCAAGGCGACGAUCAGUAGCCGACCUGAGAGGGUGACCGGCCACAUUGGGACUGAGACACGGCCCAAACUCCUACGGGAGGCAGCAGUGGGGAAUAUUGCACAAUGGGGGAAACCCUGAUGCAGCGACGCCGCGUGAGCGAAGAAGUAUUUCGGUAUGUAAAGCUCUAUCAGCAGGGAAGAAAAUGACGGUACCUGACUAAGAAGCACCGGCUAAAUACGUGCCAGCAGCCGCGGUAAUACGUAUGGUGCAAGCGUUAUCCGGAUUUACUGGGUGUAAAGGGAGCGUAGACGGAUGGGCAAGUCUGAUGUGAAAACCCGGGGCUCAACCCCGGGACUGCAUUGGAAACUGUUCAUCUAGAGUGCUGGAGAGGUAAGUGGAAUUCCUAGUGUAGCGGUGAAAUGCGUAGAUAUUAGGAGGAACACCAGUGGCGAAGGCGGCUUACUGGACAGUAACUGACGUUGAGGCUCGAAAGCGUGGGGAGCAAACAGGAUUAGAUACCUUGGUAGUCCACGCCGUAAACCAUGACUACUAGGUGUCGGGUUGGCAAACCCUUUCGGUGCCCGCUCAAACCCCAUAAGUAGUCCCCCUGGGGGAGUACGUUCGCAAGAAUGAAACUCAAAGGAAUUGACGGGGGACCCGCACAAGCGGUGGAGCAUGUGGUUUAAUUCGAAGCAACGCGAAGAACCUUACCUGCUCUUGACAUCCCGCUGACCGGACGGUAAUGCGUCCUUCCCUUCGGGGCAGCGGAGACAGGUGGUGCAUGGUUGUCGUCAGCUCGUGUCGUGAGAUGGUGGGUUAAGUCCCGCAACGAGCGCAACCCCUAUCUUUAGUAGCCAGCGGCCAGGCCGGGCACUCUAGAGAGACUGCCGGGGAUAACCCGGAGGAAGGUGGGGAUGGCGUCAAAUCAUCAUGCCCCUUAUGAGCAGGGCUACACACGUGCUACAAUGGCGCAAACAAAGGGAAGCGAGACCGCGAGGUGGAGCAAAUCCCAAAAAUAACGUCUCAGUUCGGAUUGUAGUCUGCAACUCGACUACAUGAAGCUGGAAUCGCUAGUAAUCGCGAAUCAGAAUGUCGCGGUGAAUACGUUCCCGGGUCUUGUACACACCGCCCGUCACACCAUGGGAGUCAGUAACGCCCGAAGUCAGUGACCCAACCGUAAGGAGGGAGCUGCCGAAGGCGGGACCGAUAACUGGGGU
rnacentral:rRNA from 1 species